UAUCGGACUGGCCCCGAUGCGGAGGAUUUACGAACUUUGGCCGCUCAAAAAGUCACAUCCAUUUCAGACAUUCAGAAGGGACCCCAGAAGUGGCACCUGCCCCACCUGGGGACAUCUAGAAGAGUGGCUUCCGGCCGCCUAUGGCUGUUUAGAGUAAGCCACCCUGAGCCUGCACCAAGGACUAAGGACCCUGCGCCUGACUCCCGGGGUCUGCCUCAGGUCUGGAGGUGAAGACACUGUCCGUACAGAGGUUAGGACAAGUAUUGGGAGAUGAGAUAAAGCCACCCACUUGGGUCCCAAACUCUAUGGACACUGGAUGAGAUGGAGAUCGCCGUCCUGUUCCUGUUAUUGAUGAAAAGACCAUCCGGCAGAGCAGGUAUGAAGCUUCUUGGGCUGGUGAGAUGGCUCAGCGGGUAAGAGCACUGACUGCUCUUACAGAGAAGUGGGUGUGGUCUUCUCUUUUGGCCAGGUAAUAAUGGAUGUCCAGAAUCAGUACUGUCACACAAGAAGGGAGCAGCUGGUGAACACUUGGAGCUCUGGUUGGAAGCACGUUUCUGCUGAGCUCCUUUUUGUCCAGGACUACAAGCUAGAACUUCUUAUGCCGGAACUUUUUCUGGGUGAUAGUAACAGUGAAUUUCAUUGUCUCUUGGCGGCAUCUAGACUCACCUUGUGUCCUGUUUCGUCUUAAUUGUCUUCACUCAGUCUAGAGUCACUGGAGAGCAAAGCGUUGAUUGAGAAUUGCAGAGAGAUUAGGGAGGUAACAAUACUACACAGAAUCUCAAGUAGCCCAGCCUUCAGGUUCCUGCCCUGACUUCUCUCAGUGAUGGAUUGUGACAUGGAAGUGUGAUUCAGAUAAACUUAUUCUUCCCUUCAGUUGCAUUUCAUAGGGUGUUUAAUCAUGGUACAAUGUUACCAUCUGCCUCCACGCCCCACCACACCUCCGUGGUGAUGGACUGGCUGUAUCCUCAUGGCAUCUGUUUUUCCGACACGGAUAUUGUAUUUGAGCGGUGCGAAUAGUGUGAAUGGUGUGCCAAGGUGGUGGCUAACACUUAGAAAUGGCCAUGGCUGGGUAAGAUGGCGCAUGCCAUCCCUGCGAGUCUCUGAAGAAAACCUCCCUUUGCUCGACAACAGAGAAACGCACACUCAUCAUCUCAGCGUUUCAGUCAGUGCGACUGACCCACAGCCUACGACGGCAGCCGCGGACUCGGCCCUCUGCUCUGGUUCCUUCACCAAAAAUAAAAUAAGUGACUCCAAGUGCUUGGCCGGUAGCCAAGGACCUCUCAGGUUCAAUUCUUCAUCUUCUGCUUUCGAGAGUUAAUUACAGAGAGGGGGCAUGCUAAGCAAGAGCUCUUUGUGUUCACAGUGAAAUAAUGACUUAGUCCCCCCUGAGACUACAGAGGCUCUGGACUUCAGCUCUGCACAGCAAGCACAAAUCCCAACCUGAUAGCAUGUGACUUUCUUUUUCAAAUGAAUCAGACUUUAUGAAUAGACAGCGUCUUUUCCUCCCCUCACCCUCUAGCCCGACCGUACCGAUUAGCGUAUUUUCUGCUUUUCUAGUUGAGUUGACUCACCAGACCCUUUAAGAGCCUGCUAGCUUGUGUGCUUCCUCCUGACAGGAUGCGCGGUUCCCUGUCUGCACACUUGCUGAUUGUAUAGCAUACCUUUGCCACUGUUGUUUUUUGUUAUUGUUGCUGUUGUUGUUUUGAUUCAAUAAAGUUUUAUUUUCCCAAAUGCACCAGAGGACGACUGACUGCUGUCCUGGCUG
rnacentral:lncRNA from 1 species